rnacentral:lncRNA from 1 species
ACUUUUAAAAUCAUGAUGAAACAUCUAAAAAAAAUACAUAAAAUAACUUAUUAUUAAAUAUUAAUAGUUUAAAAUUUUGAAUAAAAUAAAGAAAAAAAUGAUGGUUUAAAAUUUGAUAUAAAAGAAAAUAUGAUAGGAUACAUAACAAAAUUAGAAAAAAAAUAAACAUAAAUAAAUAUUAAAAAACAAAAAUAAAAACUGCAAUGAUUAUAAUUUAUAUUAAGUACAAAAAUUCAAAAAUAAUUUGAAGGUGGAAAAUAAUUAUAAUAAGUUGAUGGAAGCAAUUGAGAAAAAUCACAUAAAAGAGAAGCAAACAUAUUGAAUUAGAAAUUUUC